UGAGUCCUCCGACGUGACACAACAUCCUGCAGCGGUGUUGUGCGACCUGCAGUGUCCGUCGCUGGACUCG
rfam:Aspergillus niger ATCC 1015, whole genome shotgun sequence.